rnacentral:misc_RNA from 1 species
UCGUACCAAAUGUGUCAGGCAUGCUCGGGCUGUUGCUGACUCAAAAAGUCGUGCACGCUGGAGGGUGUCCUCUCACAUAAUAAUCCAUCUCACCCUUUGUGCAUCACCGCGUGGGCACCCUUUGGGAUCGGACCGAUCUCGGAAGGGGGCCCGCGUUUUCACACAAACCCCCCCAUCUAAAAGUGUAGAAUGUCCUCAUUUAUGCAAUAAAUAC